rnacentral:sRNA from 1 species
GCUGGGCGUGGUGGCACGUGCCUGUAAUCCCAGCUACUUGGGAGGCCGAGGCAGGAGAAUUGCUUGAGCCAGGGAGUUGGAGGUUUCAGUGAGCCAAGAUCAUGCCACUGCACUCUAGUCUGGCGACAGAACAAGACUCCAUCUCAAAAAAAAAAAAUUUUUUUUAUUUAUUUUGAGAUGGAGUCUCACUCUGUCACUCAGGCUGGAAUGCAGUGGCACGCUCUUGGCUCACUACAACCUCCGUCUCCCGGGUUGAAGUGAUUCUUCUGCCUGA